rnacentral:lncRNA from 1 species
UAAUCACAACUGUGUAAGUGAGGCCAUGCCCUCAGCUUAAACUGGUGGUUUUGGUUAAGUUUAAGUUCUUGCUUUGGUGUCGUUAGUGUUAGUUUUAUUUUUACUCAACGUUACCCUUUUUAAGAACCUAAUAUCAUAGGGAUUUAUAUGUUGGAUUUUAUGGUAGCUGUUAUUUUUUAUGAAGAAAAUCACAAAGAAUGUUGCUAAAUAUUAAUGUUUUGUUUUCUUGUGCCGAGGUGUCUUCCUGGUACUGCUUCAUUGGUUUUCUGCUUCUACACUCUGUGGUUUCAUUCUUCACUGCCCUGCUGCGGGAUCUUCAAUUUUGAGGAUUGUGGAUCCCAGCUGGCUACAUUGCUAGAUGCUUCUGUUUCUUGAAUCUCUGUGGAUAUGACGCGCCUCUCCUCAAAUUAUAGUGGUAUUUCUUUAAGUUCAUAUUAAGGAUGAGGAAUGGCAUGACACGCGACUGGCAGGUACAAUCUGUUCCAAGGAGUUUGGGGAUUUGAUGUUCUCCUUUAAACUAAAUUGUGAAUGGUGCUCCUUAUGGGUUCAUAGGGCAGUGUCCGAGUCUAUGCUCCUGAGAGUUCUGGUUCCCUUUUGACUUUAUAUGUUAGCUGGCUUCAUUUUGCUUUUUUGCUCCUUUUCGCCCACUCUUUCAAUAUCACCUGUCAUAUAUCAGUCCUCUUUUAAAAGAGUAUUCUCCAUAAUUUCUUUCUGUCUAUCAGGGAUAAAGAGUUGGUUACAAUUUUAUUCAAGUGUUCCCUUUGAGAGUGACUGAUAUCUUUCGAAAUUUUUACUUUUUCUACUUCUCCACACAAAGCUAGUGUUUUGUUUUAAAGGUGCCCCUUGUACCCCCCUCCCUUUUUUACCUUAAAAAACAGUCAUAUCUAUUUCUGUUAAACUUCAUCGUUCUUUUAUCAAUUAAGUUCUCUUUUUUCAUCAUCUGACAUACAUAGUGUUGGGUGUCUGUUAGUAGUUUCGCUUAUCAAAGUUGUAGAAUAUGCAUGAAUGUAGAGGACCGCUCGCCAUUGGCCUUUCCAGUAGGAGAGUUUGCUUUGACUGCCUGCACCCAAGAUGUUCAGCU